rnacentral:rRNA from 1 species
CUGCUGCCUUCCGUAGGAGUCUGGGCCGUGUCUCAGUCCCAAUGUGGCCGUCCACCCUCUCAGGCCGGCUACUGAUCGUCGCCUUGGUGGGCCGUUACCCCGCCAACAAGCUAAUCAGACGCGGGUCCAUCUUACACCACCGGAGUUUUUCACACAAAUCCAUGCGGCUUCGUGCGCUUAUGCGGUAUUAGCACCUAUUUCUAAGUGUUAUCCCCCAGUGUAAGGCAGGUUACCCACGCGUUACUCACCCGUCCGCCACUAAG